rnacentral:rRNA from 1 species
CCUACGGGUGGCAGCAGUGGGGAAUAUUGCACAAUGGGGGAAACCCUGAUGCAGCGACGCCGCGUGAGUGAAGAAGCGCCUCGGCGCGUAAAGCUCUGUCAGCAGGAACGACGAUGACGGUACCUCAGGAAUAAGCCACGGCUAACUACGUGCCAGCAGCCGCGGUAAUACGUAGGUGGCAAGCGUUAUCCGGAUUUAUUGGGUGUAAAGGGCGUGUAGGCGGGAAAGCAAGUCAGAUGUGAAAACUCAGGGCUCAACCCUGAGCCUGCAUUUGAAACUGUUUUUCUUGAGUGCUGGAGAGGCAAUCGGAAUUCCGUGUGUAGCGGUGAAAUGCGUAGAUAUACGGAGGAACACCAGUGGCGAAGGCGGAUUGCUGGACAGUAACUGACGCUGAGGCGCGAAAGCGUGGGGAGCAAACAGGAUUAGAUACCCCUGUAGUC